GAAAGAGGGAAGAGGCCAAGGAGAAACUGGGGUGAUCGAAACCCUAAUCCGAAUUCACUAUUGUCAUCAAGAAAGUCCCCAAAUUUUAGUUGGGUGAUGAAAGCUAUUACAUCGAAAGUUAAUUUCUACACCGUUGUCGGUGCAGCGGCGACCGGGCAACGGCUGGUGUUUUGUCUGGCAUCUGAAGGGUGCUAGCCUGUUGGGGAGGGUAAAGGGUUAUAUCAGACAUAGGAGUAAAACUGACGACAGCAACUGUUUCCGGCCAUGAACCAGCGUGGGAGACCACCGUUGAUUGACCGGCUCGGCCUUUUCUCCUGCCAUUCAUUCACGGCCGAUCAGUUCUGCUCCCCAUCAUAA
rnacentral:lncRNA from 1 species